UAAAACAUGCUCUGAUAAUGAUUAUGAAAGCAUGAUCCUGCAGCGAAAGAAUGAUGAGAUAAUAAAAACUCUUAAUGAGAUAUAUACUCUAUGUUGAGUGGGGUACAUAGCUACGCGAGUACCCUUGAUGAUUUGCCUAUACGAAUGUGGAACUGAGGCCAGUCCUAUGGAAUUUCGAGGCAGAAUUCCUAGAGCGUUCUGGAAUGAUUGUACACCGACACCUUCGAAUUGCUUUUUUUAACAGAACCAUCAGAUUCAAUUUUGUGUCAUGUCACAGUUGAUUUUGCUUUCUUCUUCUCACACUCAUUUUUCAACUCAUUUUUCAACUGAACAUCACCUUGAUUCUGAGACAUCUACAUAAUGCAAAUAUCAGAGAAGGAAGAGGAGGAGAGAGUGUCAGAUGAUGGUGUGGGAAAUGUUGAAGGUUGGAAGGAUACUUAUAGCGGGAAUGGAUGCCUAGGUUUUAUCUAACCAUUAUGGUGAGUCAAAAAAAUGUGUAAAAAAACAAGUUUUACCAUUUGACCACCGUCCAAAAAACGUGUUUUAUGUGGUGCAGAAAGGAGCGUGAGUUAAGUCACGUCACUGGCCAAAGGUGCAUCAGUUAAGUCACGCAACAUGAGUUAACUCACGAUGAAAGUACCUAGCGUGACUUAAGUCACGCAUGGGUACUUUCGUCCAUUUAGUUGGGAGGGAGUUUUUUUUUUUUUUGGGAGAAGAGCAUUUUUCAAAAUUGUUAGGACUUAAGCCUAUGAGGGGAGCCCAACCGAAAAGACUAGUCCAUUAGGUGGAAUAGUUGACCAAAUUGUAAUAAUUAGUUAUAAUUAGUUUUUUGUAAUUAUGUUGUAUCAUAAUUAAAUAGUUGAUCAAACGUUAUAUGUUGUAUUCACAAGAAUGAGAAAACUCAACCAUUCCAAUUAUCUUACAUGGUACCAUCCUAAUAUCUCUCUCUCUCUCUCUCUCUCUCUCUCUCUCUCUCUCUCUCUCUCUCUCUCUCAAACCCUCACACACAAAACAUGGUCCCCACGCCUUGCCGCCGUGUUCUUCCAUACCCUGCCGCAAACAUAGCAGGGUGAUCCUCCUUUGUGUCACGCCGACAAUAUCAUGUGUGAUUAUCUCCUUCACGUCGUCUUCAUGUUCCCUCCCGACACCAUAUUGUAGACAUCUUCACUAAAGGACUUCGUCACAUCCUCUUUGAUGAUUUUCGGACCAAAAACGUUCGUGAACCUCCCGCUUGACUGCGGGGAUAGAAUAGAAUAGUUAACGAAACAAAUAGAAUAUUUUGUAAUAAUUAGUCAUAAAUACUUUCCUGUAAUUAUAUUGUAUCAUAAUUAGAUAGUUGAUCAAACACUACACAAUGAUGUAUAUAUUCUAUUCACAUUAAUGAGAAAACUCAACCAUUCCAAUUCUCUUACAGAUGUGGGACUCAUAACAUUGUCACGCCCUUUAAGAGUUGACGUCCACGACGAUUUACACCAUACAUUGACCCAACGGUAGCCUUUUUCUUUUUGGCAGCUUCAAUCACCUAUCAGUAUCUGGCGGAGCACCUUAAUCCAACCUAUAUGUAGUCUUUUUCAUGGUCCAACUCUCAAUGAAAACUUAUGCCCAUAAGAAGAGUCCAAUCCACAAGACUAGCUAGUCCAUUAGGUAGGAAAGUCUCAUGACUUAAGUACCACGUCGAACAUUUUUAUCUACUCGAUGUAAGACUCCUAAUACAUGUGAAUUCAAAUAUCCCAACAGAAAAUCUUUAUCCAAGAUACUGAAAGAAAAAAAAAAAAAAAGAUACACAACAACAACACAGUCAAGGGAAAUUGAAAUAUUUUAAACUUUUGACUCGAGCACUAUUAAGCAAUUUUAAACUCUCAUACUAUUUUAACCAAUUCAUUGAUCCAUCUAGAGCUGUAUCUUUUUUUUUUCUUUUUCUUCCCUCAAACAUCUAUAGCUAUGUAAAUUCUUAAUUUUUUAGUAAUUCGCUUUAGCAAUAUGUACAUCUUGCUUAAUACGACACGACAUAUUGAUAAAGCUCUAUACCAGACUAUCAAAGGACUCUCUCUCUCUCUCUCUCUCCCUCUCCCUCUCCCUCUCCCUCUCUCUCAUUAUAAUAUAAUCAAACCCUAUAUCUAAGAUAUAUUCCCAACACUUCUUCAUUGUCAUCUUUUUCAACAAAAAAAAAAGUACAAAUCCACAUGCAUAUUCAAUCCAUGUGAUCCCUUGUAUUUUGUUGAUUUUCAACCAAUUCAUCAACUUACACUUCUUGAAUGAUUUUUGCAUGGCUAGUGAUGCAACAUUUUCCUCCAACAUUACUUUCAUCUUCUUUUCUUUACUCUUAGCUUUUCACUUUGCUAUGGCAGUCCAAGAACACACUUUAACAAAAGAUGAGGCCAAGAAGAGGAGCGACGAGGUAGCUACUUCAACAAACGAAGAAAGUGUACAAAAUUUGAAUACCACAAAAGGUAACCGUAUUUCUGAUCUACAAAAGCAUCCUAAGGGAAGAAACUCUAGAGCAUCAAAGCCUCCAUUUCAAUGGAAAAACAAGAUCCUCAAUGCUAGUGAACGUGAAGUUCCUAGUGGUCCAAACCCCAUCUCAAACAGGUAAAUAAUUGUACUCAAUAUCAUUUGGUAGAAGUGAACACCUAAGAAAUGGAAUAAGAUUUUGGGUUGUGGUUUUAAUUAGGUUCUUAUGUUGUUUCCUCCUUAAUUUUGUAAUAUUUUAUUAUUAUUUUGUUGUUCAUUUUUUUGGGUCCAUUAAUAAAUGUAUGCAUAGAAUUGAUUUGGGAUUUGGGGGAGGGACCCAAAAACAACGAGUUUGAUAUAUGUGAGUGCAGUUCUAUUCAUAUUAUCAUCAUGAUCACGUACCAAUCAUUUAAACAUACAUGAGGAUAUGUGUAUGUGAGAUUCUAUUUGCAAGUUAGAAGAACAAUUUUAUUUGGAUUAGUUUGAUGAGAAUAUUUUUUUUUUAUGAAGCCCUUAUAAAUUUUUUGGAUAUCUAGUAUCUCACAUGAUUUUGAAAUCAUUGAAGAUGAUAUGUACAUAUAUUUAUGUAGCACUAUUAUUACGGUUUUAUAUGUGAAUAACUUGAUUAUCAUUAGUUAUAAGUUUUAUGUUGUGAAAAAAAUCAUAUAUAUGUUUGUGGAAUUUUAUACAUUAAGAACUUUUGAUGAAGUAAAGAUUAUUCUUGAAAUUAAGUUUACUAUGAAUAUGUACUAGCUAGUAUUGGGACACCAAUGUGAUAGUGAGGAUCAUGUGGUACUUUAAAAAGGCCAUGAAUUCAAGAUCAUUACAAAAAAAAAAAAAAAUCAUUGUACUAAAAAGUUGCAAUGAUGUUAAUUAUUAUAAAAAAGUUUACCAUGAUACAAGAAAGCUACAAUGAUGUUGAUUAGCUUACCAUUGUACUUGAAAAUUACAAUGAUGCAUGGAAUAAUCUAUUAAAUUUUCCUAAAUAAUACAUGUGAUUUUCAACCAUAUUGAUCGAUUGUGAUAGUCAUAACUAUUACAAAGUAAAUAAGAUGAUGAUCAUAUGAGAUAUGAAGAAAUUUGACUGGUCCAUUGACGAAAGAAUUAGUAAGAGAGAGAGAGAGAUUAACUAAUCAUUUGACGAAAUGAUUAGUCAGAGAGGGCUUUGAAAACCUCAGAAAGAAUGAGACUAGUGCCAAGAAUAAUUUUCUCAUAUGAGGGUAACCCAAAUAGGUUUAAAGGGUAAUAACAACUUAUAUAGAGAUCAUGUGGAUCAUGCUAAAGAUAAAUAAAUUUAAAGUCUCAAUCAUAUAUUUAGAGCAAGAUAUCACGUAGUGUGUGAAAAUGUUGAAUUAAAUUUCUUAAUGAGUUAUAUAUCCCAUAUGGAGUGGAGUACGUAGCUACAUGAGUACUCUUGAUAGACUCAUUUAUGUGAAUGUGAAGGUUUGGCUGCUUCCAAUGAAAUUUUGACAGCGUUUCUAAAGCGUUCACUAUACUGGAUAACGUGUAUGGUCGUGACACACGUGCUUUUGAACUACACCUUGAAAGAUUGAGGGUGUGUUGUCUGAGAUAUAGUUCAAGACUAAGAAUCACUCUAGUAUAAUCGGAAGCAUCAUCACUACGCAAUAGUUCAUGUCUAUAAACACUACUGUUUAUGUUCAAUCUUAUGUUGGAUCACCUUAUUGCUCGAUGAAAUAGUUUUAAUAAAAUCCAGUGGAAGAUUGUUGAUGAUUUUAUUAAAAUAACAAUAAAAUAAGAAAUGCAUUUUCAUUUAUUUAUGGGUUUUCUAAUAUUUGGAUUCCAACACCAAGCGUAUUGUUUUCAUGUUUUAAAUGCCUGUGUUUUAAUUAUACAAUUAUUUGGUAACCUUUUUCUUUGCAUUGAAAAUUAAUAAUGUCUGUUGGUGAUUUCCAAAAUAAUGGAAUCACUUUAGAACCAAAAGUUGUAACUCUUCAUGGGAACCAUUCAUAUACAUUGGAACAUUAUUAUUUAUUAUUAAUAAUGAACCAUGACAUUGAUUCAAGUAUAUAUGGUUAUAACCUUUGGCAAAAGGGUGCUUAAUGAAUCAUGGCAUUGAUUCAAGUUAAAUAGCUGUUUUCUCUCAUGUGAAGAGUCAUAUAAUGCACUAUAAAUGCUUGACAUUUGGGCAUUAGUUGAAGAUACAAAAACCACACAACUACACACAACUUGGACAGAAUUUUGUUACAUUAACAACAUAAUUCUUCAUCAUUCUAUUAUUCUAAAUCAUCCAUCAAUUCUCUAAUGCAUGAGUGAAUUGCUGGAACCAUAAAUCUGUAAAAUACUGUUAGGAGAUACGCUUGGUGUGGUUGUGCAAUACACGUCAAGGAACUCAUAGUAUCCUGAAGGGGAUUCGCCGGUCAUUUCUAUUGCAUCCAAUAUACAUUUAUUGGUGGAGGCGAAUCGAACCUAAAGGUUAGUGUGGCAACCCCAUACGCUUUGAGUUUUACAUGCAUGAUCAUUAAACAUUUCAGGUUUCAAGUGCAGCAGCCUCUUCCCAACAAACAAGAUAUAUAACAUUAAAAUGGCUUAAUGUACAUAUGAGGAAGGCUUUGACCAAGUCACAAAAGGAUUUUAUGUAUAGUUCACAUUUUGGCAAGAAAAUUAAGAUAUACUUUAACACCAAAAUGAAGACGUGAGGAAUAUACAAGAAGUCUUUUAUGAUUGCUUUAGGAAAAGAAAAUGAAAAAUUAGUAACGAGAAAUUAAGAAAAUCUGUUUUCUUAAUUUGAGGAGAGUAUUUCCGAGCAAUAUUGAUAGGAUUGAGGGUGUUGGUUUAUUGGGUUCUCUUUGUGCAAGCCUCCAAUCAACCCUAGCCAUCAUUAGAGAUUCAAAUCAUUCUUCUUCAUCUCAUAUACCUUCAUCUAUUCCAUAUUGAAAGCAUAAUAAUUAGAAUCUUAGAGUUUUAGAGUAAAUUGUUAUUUCUCUUUUGUAAACUCUAAUCUUAUCUAAUGAUUUAUGCAAUUAUGUUUUUAUCUCUUAUCUUCUCCAUUUUUAUUUGUGUUUAUAUUCAUUAUGAACUAACCACUUUUAUGGUUAUGGAAUGAUUAGUUAAUAAUUAUGUUGGAACAUUUCUUGAACACUUUAAAUUGUUGCUGCAUCUAUCGAACACUUGGAAUUAUUUCUGCAAAAAAUCAUACUUGAACACACAAAAAUAAUUUUGUUAGAUAAAAUAUUUUAAGAUGAGUCACGAACUAGGUCGCUCUCUUUGAUGUUCCGCGACUCUGUCUUAAUGGUGCAACAUUUCUUUCUUGCCUCAUAGUCCCAGGAUAAAAACAACCCUCCCAAACUUGAGUAUCAGUGCCUCCAAUCUCUAUUAUAUUCAACAUAGCACAUAAUUGCAAAUGAAGGCUUGUCGUCCCUUUUAUAGUACAAGUCAUUUCCUAUCCUUGAGUGUCCUUUUUGGUCUUUUCCCAUGUGAUGGUCUUUGCCUUAACCAUUAAGCAUAAGAAUAUACCUUACCCCCUUUGGUGUACUAUUUGAGACUCCUGUAUCUUCUUCUCCAAGCACAAGAUGUUCUCGGCCCACUUUAGUGCAUAUCCAGUAAAAAUCAAGUCUGAUACGCCGCAACAUUGUAGCUUCCUACAUAGCCAUGAUGUGUUCUUCAAUACUUUCUUCUAUGAGCUGACAACUUUAUCUCUUGGAAUCAACAUAUUCCUUCUUCAUUGUACUACAUUCUCUGGAGAUAGCUCAUGUAAACUUAGUCUUUAAGGCUUGCAAAUAAUGGACUCAAGGUCGUACACUUGUACGACACGUACUGAGAGAUCUUUAACACCAUAGCUUCAGACUCCUUUUCAACGCUAUAGCUUCUUACAUCAUUAGCAUGAUUCCCAUCGUUGUAGUUUUGAACAUCUUUUCAUGACAUGUCAUUCGAACCAACACUAGAAAGCAUAAAAGGUUCCUAAAACUCAAAUAAACAAUAAAUACUAUAAAAGACUAAUUAGACUAAAUAAAGGCUAAAUAUGCUUUGCAUGAACUCGAGGAUCACAUGCAAUGGAAGAUAAAUGUAAGAUAAUAACCGACAUAUUUGCCGGUUAUCAAAUGCAUACAAAUGACUGUAUUUGCCUUGCUUCUAAAACAAUCAACCACUUGAAUCAACGGUAAUUUGGUGGUAAUAUGGAUCUCAAGAUCGACAUUAUUAAGCUUUUGAUGCUUUAGACUGAAAUUUUCUAGUCAAAGUGUUAAAGAGUUUUGGUUUUAUCGAUAAGUUUUGAAUGUGCAUUGAUGUUAUUAUAAGAUUUCCUAAAUUGUCCAUAUCUUUCAAUGGAAGUUUCUUUCCUUGCACGAGAGGGAUGAGGUAAGGUAACCCUUUGUCCCUUUUAGUCUAUUGUAUUGUAGAAGAAAUUCUAAGCAAAUGCAUUUCUCAUCUUGUUUAGGUUGGGAGGAUUUCUAUGAUUGAUGGAGCUAUAAUUGCUUUGGUUCCUUCUCAUGUUAUGUAUGUAGGGUACUUGAUGAUUUUUUUUUCAAGGGAACCUCUUCUAAUCUACUAAGGGGUGUAUUGGAUUGAAAAUUUUAAAAGAUUUUGUUGGAUUGUAUUGAUUUUGUGAAAUUUUAAAAGACAUUUUUUAAAAGAUUUUUUACAAUCAAGAUUCUUGAUGCAAGAUUUUAAUGAAUUUAUUAAGAUUUUAAGGACUUUAUGGAUUUUCAAGAUUUUAAAGAGGUCAAUGAAUUUAAAGAUAUAUGGUAUAGUAUUAUUAGACAUAUACAUCAACUGCAAAAAAACUAUAAUAAAAACAAUUGAAAAAAAUUAAAAAUAAAGUACAGUAGUUAUAAAUCAAACAAUAUAAUAAUAAACGUAUAGACUUUCCUAAAAAAAAUAAGUAUAGACUUUAUUUUUAAAUAUCAUUGAAUCAAUGGACGUAUAAACUUUUAAAAAAAAAAAGAACGUAUAGACCGUUAGAGGUAUAGUGCAGCAAGUUGAUUGAUUAUAAUAAUUGGAUAUAUAAUUAGACGGAUAAAUUCUGUAAAGAAAAUUGCAAGUUACGGUUAAGAAGAUUGCAAGUUACAGUUAUGAAGAUUUCAAGGAUUAUGUUUGGCAAACAAAAGAAAUAAUAUGCACUUGUCAUGACAGAACAUAAAAGAUUCCUGUAGAGUAUCACAAAAUCUCAAGAGUUUGUGUGAGUUGUAGAUAGUCUAUUUUAACUAAAAAGUCUCACACAAUCUAUUCCACAAAUGAAUCCAUUAAAAUCUCUCUAAUUUUCAAUACCAAGAGACAUUUUAUAAGUUCCUAGAAAUCUCAAUUGAAUACCAACGGAUUUCGUUGUAUUUAAAAAAAAGUCUUGAUUGUCUUGAUUGAAUACCACCAAAAAAUUUUCUCAUAAAAAAGUCUUUUAAAAUCCUUUAAAAUCACAAUCCAAUACACCCCGUAAUAUUUAUACGAGGCAACAAAUUAUAACAAAUAUUCUUGGUUUUGCCAUUGAUUCCAUUCCUUUUACUUACCUAGGCAUACCUAUAUUCAGAGGUAAACCUAAGGUAAUUUAUAUUUAAUCAAUUGCAGAUAGGAUAAAGUGUAAUUUAGUUGCUUGGAAAUCUUCUCUCCAUACAUGGAAUAAUUCAAUAUGUCAAGAGUGUGAUUUAUAGUAUGAUGGUGUGUUUCCUCAAAAAAAAAAAAAGUAUGAUGGUGUGUAGCAUUCACAUAUAUGCCUGGCCUCUAUCCUUAAUCAAAGAGGUGGAUAAGUGCACUAGAAAUUUCAUUUGGUCAAUGUAAUAUUGAGAAAAGAAAGUUGGUAAUUGUUGCUUGCCAUAAAGUUAGUAGUCCUAUCGGAGAAGGUGGUCUUAGUUUAAGAUCAAUAAGAGACAUUAAUGAUGCGGCCAAUCUCAAGGUUUUUUAUAGUGAUUUUAGAUAAAUUGGUAAGUGCAUCAAAUCGUACAAAAUAAUAAAGUAAUGAGUUAAUCGUCUCCUCAGGGAUUGUUGUUCAACUCGUGAUGAAAGUAGAACAUAAUCCCGUGAUGAAUCAGUGGAAGUUUAUUAAUCCCCCACAAUUAAACCAUUUACAAUUGUGGGUUCCUUUAAGAUGAGUUAUAGCCAUAAAUUCAUAGUUAAAUUCAAUUAUAUUAGAAACUAAGCAAUUCACUACUGCCUUGUUUGAAUGGAAGUGAGGGUUGUCAAUCUUAAUAUUGCUCCAUCUAAGAUAUGAUAUAAAAACAGACAUAAACGAAUUAAAUCAGACUUUAAAUUAUAGACUAAAUAAAAACUUUAUUAAUAGAAUCCAACAAAUAAGAAAGGUUCAUCGAGGAACCCUAAUCGAAGAGGUUUUGUUGCUCAUGGCAACCGACAUCAUUACAAAACAAUUGAAAAACAUACCCUAGAGAGAACAAUAGAAGGAUGGAUCCUCUGCCUUGAAACUCGUGAUGAUUGACCUUUGCCUUUUACCGCUAGCCUUCUGAAUGAAUCAAAGAGUGUGCAAGGUAUAGUGAAUGAUUACUUAAGGAUUAAGAGAGUGAAAAUAGAUUUUUUUUCCCACAAAAAAAGGAUUGGAAAACAAGCAAACAACACUCCCUACCCUUGUCAAUGCGCAGGGGCGCAUGAGGCAGCCCCUCCUGCGCGAAUUAUGCAGUUUUCAACCCUUUUUCAAGCGUUCUUCUGUCUUGUGAUGCCUUGGAAAUUCAAAUGAUUUUUCUUCACUUUGUAUUGUCUACAUAUACCUUCUAAGAACCAUUGAACUUCAAUCUUCAUAUCCUCGAUUCUUCACAUGAUGUAUUGUUUUUCCGAUUUACAUGAUUUCUCACGAAAAAGACUCAAACCCUCACGCAAAACACAGUCUCCGCGCGCCUCUUUAUCGUGCAACCAUGCCCACCACUGGGUUCUUCCAUACACCGCCGUACACACAACAACGUAAUCCUCCUACUCAUGCCAACAACAUCAUGCGCGACAAUCUCCUUCGUGAUAUCUUCAUGUUCUCUCCCGACACCAUAUUGCAGGCAUCUUCACCAAAGGACUUCACAUUCUCUUUGAUGAUUUUCAGACCAAAAACAUUUGUGAACCUCUCGCUUCAACUGCAGGGUGUGAUAUAAUAGUUGACCAAACAAAUAAAAUAUUUGGUAAUAAUUAGUCAUAAUUAGUUUCGUGUAAUUAUUGUAUCAUAAUUCAAUAGUUGAUCAAACAUUACACAUUGAUGUAUAUAUUCUAUUCAUAUGAAAUAGAAAACUCAACCAUUCCAAUUAUCUUACAAAUGUGGGACUCCUAAUAUUGUCAUGUCCUUUAAGAGCCGACGUCUGUCGUCCACGAUGACUUUCACUCUACAUUAACUGAUGGGAAAUCUUUUCUUUUUGGUAGCUUCAAUCACCAAUCAGCAUGCGGUGGAGCAUCUUAAUCUAACAUAUAUGUAGUAUUUUCCAUGGUCCAACUCUUAAUGAAAACUGAACAUUGAUGUUGACAUUUUAGGUUUAGCUGAAAAACACUUGUAAAAGACAAAAAUGUCCAUCGACAGUUAACUGCCGCCAGUUAAAAAUUCAUCGGCAGUUAACUACCGAUGGGGUUAUAUUGGAAAAUUAUUGUUGUUUUUCAGCCAAAUACUAUAUGUGAACAACAUUCUUCAUGAAAACUUAAGCCCAUAAGAAGAGUCCAAUCCAUAAGAGUAGUUCAUUAAAUGUGAAAGCAUCAUGGUUUAAAUACCACGUCGAGCUUUUUUAUCUACUCGGCGUAAGACUCCUUACACAUAUGAAUUCAAAUAUCCCACGGAAGAUCUUUAUCCAAGAUAAGGCAAACAAAACAAAAAAAAAAAGAGGGCAAAGAAAAGAGAAGAAAUAUGGAGAUACACAACAAAAUCACAAAGUCAAAGGAAAUUGAAAUAUUUUAAACUUUUGACUCGAGCACUAUUUGUCAAUUUUAAACUCUCAUACGAUUUUAACUAAUUCAUUUAUUCAUCUAUAGCUAUAUCUUUUUUUUCUUUCCCCUCAAAUAUCUAUAGCUAUGUAGCAAUUGUAAAUUCUUAAUCUUUUAGUAAUUUGCUUAGCAAUCUGUACAUCUUUCUUAAUACGACACAACAUAUUGAUAAAGGUACCAGACAAUCAAAGGAGGGGUUCACCAAUCUCCACUUUCCUCUUUUCAUACUUAAUAAGGACUCUCUCUCUCUCUCUCUCUCUCUCUCUCUCUCUCUCUCUCUCUCUCAUUAUAAUAUAAUGAAACCCUAUAUCUAAGAUAUAUUCCCAAGAACACUUCUUCAUUGUCAUCUUUUUCAACAAAAAAAAAAAAGUACAAAUCCACAUGCAUAUUCAAUCCAUAUGAUCCCUUGUAUUUUGUUGAUUUCCAACCAAUUCAUCAACUUACACUUCUUGAAUGAUUUUUGCAUGGCUAGUGAUGCAACAUUUUCCUCCAACAUUACUUUCAUCUUCUUUUCUUUACUCUUAGCUUUUCACUUUGCUAUGGCAGUCCAAGAACACACUUUAACAAAAGAUGAUGCCAAGAAGAGGAGCAACGAGGUAGCUACUUCAACAAACGAAGAAAGUGUACAAAAUUUGAAUACCACAAAAGGUAACCGUAUUUCUGAUCUACAAAAGCAUCCUAAGGGAAGAAACUCUAGAGCAUCAAAGCCUCUAUUUCAAUGGAAAAACAAGAUCUUCAAUGCUAGUGAACAUGAAGUUCCUAGUGGUCCAAACCCCAUCUCAAACAGGUAAAUAAUUGUACUCAAUAUCAUUUGGUAGAAGUGAACACCUAAGAAAUGGAAUAAGAUUUUGGAUUGUGGUUUUAAUUAGGUUCUUUAUGUUGUUGCCUCCUUAAUUUUGUAAUAUUUUAUUAAUAUUUUGUUGUUCAUUUUUUUGGGUCCAUUAAUUAAUGUAUGCAUAGAAUUGAUUUGGGAUUUGGGGGACUCAAAAACAUGGAGUUUGAUAUAUGUGAGUGCAGUUCUAUUCAUAUUAUCAUCGUGAAACGUACCAAUCAUUUAAACAUGAGGAUUUGUGUAUAUGAAAUUCUAUUUCCAGUCAUCAUUACGUUCAUAUAUGUAUAUAUUUUUUGUUGUUGCUUUUUAGAAUAGUCAUCAUUUUUUCUUUUUUUUUUACAUUUGUUUAUCACUUUGUCGCCAAAGAACGGGAAAAUUUAUUCUGCUAGUAGAGAUAAUCUGAGAAAUAAUUGGCUCGUCAAAGGCUCGAAUAGUGAAUUGUAUCACAUAUACAAAAGCUAAUAGGAUGCAAUAUAUACAUAUGAUUAUGCUGGUGAUAAGCAUUCAAAAUUUCUAAGACAUUGAAGAAAAUUUUGAUCAAUGAAAAAUCAAAUUGCAAAACUUUGUGAUAACUAAAUUUAAAAUGGGUUGGGGUAAAUUUAGAUUUUUUAAAUAUAAGUUUCUUUUAUCAUAUUUAAGAAAAAAAGAAAAUCCCCCUGCAACUGAUAGUUUAACAUUUCAAUGUAACCAAAAAAAUAGUUUAACAUUUCAAAAGAAAUCAUAUUCCUUCAAAAAAAAAAUCAUAUUAAACGACUUUUAAAAUAUCAUUUCAGAUUAGUAUCACCUCCAUUUAUUUAUACAUUAAUCCCUCCGUCUCAUAUUAAUAACAUUUCAGAGUUCCCUACAAAAAAAAAAAACAUUUCAGAGUAUAGACCUUUCUCAAAAUAUUGUUGAACAUACUAAUUUUCAUGAUAAGAUAAGCAUCAUUGACUGAAAUAAUUUAAUUAAGAGUAAUUAAGAAGUUAUUGGAGUAAUUAGGUAUUUAGGUUUUUUUUUUGGUUACAAUUAGGUAUGUAGGUUUUUUUGAAGGAAUUAGGUAUGUAGGUUGAAAAUAUAUGAAUAUACACUUAUUUGUUUUUCUUAUAGAAAAAAUAAACUUAUUCGUGGGCUUUGCCCUCUCUUGUAACAAAAAUAAAAAAAAAAUAAACUUAUUCGUUGAAAAUUAAUAUUAAUGCUUUCGUUGAUACUAAAUACCAAAUAAUGAGACUAAUAAAUAUUAUAAACCGCUCAUCAAAUAUCAAGUACAUAAGUUUUUUUUUUGGGUGGUGGCUGGGAUUCGAACCCCGAACUUUUGCAUAUAUUAUACAUUGUCCUUACCAACUGAGUUAAAUUUACGAGAACAUAUCAAGUACCAUAAAUUGUUAUGUAUGUUAAUGUUAAUGCUCUAAAAAAAAAAUAUUGUUAUGUUAAUAUUUUCUUCUAGGGUUUAACCCAAAUUAUUUAACUUAUUUAACUCAUUUAAUCGUUCAAUCUAUUUGAAACACCUAACCUAUUAUUCUAGGAAAAUCUUGUUGCUAGUUAUCAAAUGUUUUCAAAUUUUAACACUAAAUUAUUUCUAUCAAUUGUUUUUACCCUAACUACUUUCUAUAAACAUUCAUUACAUAUUUCUUAAGAAAAGUUGAUAGAAUAAUAAUAAUGUAUAUUUUUGUGUAUAAGUAAUACUAAAUUAUAACAUUUGUGUAUAAGAAAAUAUUGGGGUAGAUUGCCUUUUAAAUUUUGUACACCUGUAACGUCCUGUGUGGUUGAGUCUGAUUGGAUGUCAAUUAUCUCGUUGUAUCUCUCCCUUUUAUCGCUAGUCAUAUACCAUGUGGGGCUAUAUACAGUCAUGUUAGUUGAGUAGUGUCUAUAUAUAUAUAUAUAUAUAUAUAUAUAUAUAUAUAUAUAUAUGUACUCUUUAUUUAUAAAUGUAAUCACACACAUGUAGAGAUCGUCUAAUGCUUACACUUAUUCAACAUGUUAUUCUCUCUCUCAUCAUACUCUUUGUAUAUACGCUUUCACAAUACUAAAGAAACUUCAUAACAAUAUAUAUCUUUUUUCAUCAUAUAAUUGACAUAUCAUAUUUAUCACAUCAUUCUCUCUCAAGGUCUCAAUUGAAUUUUUGGUGUAUCAAAUAUUUUUCCAAUCACAAAUAAAUUAUCAUGCAUGUGCAAGUAGCAUCAACCAUUGGUUUUUCUAUCAACCAUUGGUACUAUUAGUUUUACAUCUUAUGGUGAAAUAUUCACUUUAUAGGAGUGUUGUUUUGAAUUGAAGUUUCUUUAGUAUUGUGAAAGGGCAUAUAUCUUCCUAUUGGUAAAGGAUCCAAAGUAUAAAAUCACUUGGGGAAGUGACAUAAUGAUUCAAAUAUUUGUAAUGCAAGCUUUUGUAUAUGACGAGGAGUUACUUACUGAACACAAUAAUGAAAUGUGAAUUGGGGUUAAAAAAAGUGUCCAAAUAAAAUCCAUCACCCCCCAUUGUUUUGCGUGAAAAAGUUUACACAAAUUUAGCAUUCAAAGUUGUGUUUGAAGGGUCAAUAUCCUUCUUCCUCAAUUACCCAAAAUAUCCUCCUCACUUUCCCUAAACUUGCAUAGUAUCCUUUGUUUCUUUACUUUAAACCCAAACAAAACAUUACUGGCUCACUCAAUUUUUUUUAUAGUACAUAUUCAUUGUCUCUUUCCUCUUGUUAUUUACCUUCUUGUUUGUUUAUGCUAUAUAUAUAAAAUGCCAAACCGAUUUGGACUAAUUAUGAGGUCCUUUUCACUUGUUUUUCUUAUCAAGAAGAUGUUUAUUUAAUUUUUGGUAACUCUAUUAUUGGUGACAACCUUAGUCAUGAUUUCAAAUUUUGGGGUUUAGCUACAAAGAUUCAUUAUUGUUAAUCAUCAUCCUUUAGCAUUCUAUGGCAUGAAAAGCAUUCACAUUAUAAAAGUGUGACAAUGUACGACUUACUAAAUUCCAAUAUUUGAUUUGAUCAAUCGAUAUUUUCCAACACAUCAUAUCCCGCCUCGUCCCAUACUUACAGAGACACAUUGACAACAAUAAUAAUUUUAAAAAUAAUUAAUUAAUUGAAUGCAAUCACAUAUUUCGUCACUAAACACUGCGAUGCGAAAAAUACAUCUUUGAUCACUAGUGUCUCUAAUAAAGAGUCACACAUCGGAUAAGAGAUGACCUGACAAUGUGUUUAUAAGUGGGGGCAAUCCUCACCUCAUAAGUCAGCUUUGUGUGGUUGUGUUAGGCUCAACCACGAUUUCUAAGAUAACAUCAGAGCCUCCUUCAUGAUCCGUUGGGACACCUGCUAUCAGGUUUCUGUUAUCCAGUCACCCAUCAUUUGUGUCCACGCUCCAGAUGUUCAGUGCUGGCCUGACAAUAUGUUUAUAAGUGGGGGCAAUCCUCACCUCAUAAGCCGAUUUUGUGGAGUUGUAUUAGACCCAAUCACAGUUUCUAAGAGUCUCUACUAUAGAGAUAUAUAGGUUCAUCAUGUAUGUUUGGAAGUGGAGCUAAAAGAGGGGGUAUGUGUAACAACACUAGUUGUAUAUGAUUUUGCCUACACCUUUGGUUUUAAGGGGUCUUGUCACUUUACUUUGUUACCAAGACUCAACUGAAAAAUGCUUUGUAAGAGUAUGGCUAGAGAAUGUUUUUUCAAACAAAAACAAAAGAUAUAAAAAGAACUGAUAUUUCUUGCUUUGACAAAAGCAACCAAAGUGCCUUGACAGCUUUCCUUUUUACGACUGUUUUCUUUAUUUGGUUAUUUUGGUUUCCUUUUUAAUUAUUCCUUAUCUCUUUUCAAUAUUGGUUUUCUUUUUCUGGUUUUCUUGGGUUCUGAUUUCAGAAAAGGGUAAUUUUUUGUUAGGAUUAUUUUCUGUCAUUGUUACAUCAUGAAAAAUUUAUGUCAAUCACAUGAAAUAUUUAUACAUCCAAAGUUGAAAAUUAUGUACGAUGAUGAGAUAUGAGAUUAAUAGUUUUUUCUUUUUGGUUCAGAAAGAAAAAGGUUUUUCUUUUAAUAUUUAAACAUUUUUAGAUAAUUUGGGUUAUAUAAAUUAUUGUAGAUUGCCUCUUGUACGAAAAAAAAUUAUUGUAAAUUAGUUGUGGCUUAACUUAACUUAAUUCUAAACCCGAAUUCUAAUUUUGUAAAGAAUUUAUUGAUAUUUCAAAAUUUGUCCUCAAACAGUAAUCAUACAUCAUCCGUUCACAAUUAUAAAUAAAAAUCUACAUUUUAAGUUUAUUGAAUAAGGGAUGUAUGUGGUCUACACUUAAUCAAUAAACCUAAAAUGUGUACUUAUAAUAGUGACCGGAGAGAGUAUGUAUUUUAUUUUAAUUUUGACUUUCAAAUCAAAUAUCAAUCUUCAAAAAUAUAUUAAAUAGUUAAUUAUGGCAUACUUACCUCUCUCCUACACAUUCUCAAGAAAAAAUAAAAAUAAAUUGAAGUUAGAGUUCAUAUAUGUUAUUUAUAAUCUAAUUGUGAGCUUUGAAAUACCCUUUUUCAGGGUAGAAACACUUGUAGCUUCCAAGUCACCUCAGAUUUACAACCUCACAUUCCAAACAUGCUAUACAACACUGCCGAUUUGUUUUAUUGAAAGAAGCUUGGUAGCAAAUGUUACUUAUUGUUAUUGUUAGAAUGAAAGUGAAAAAGUCAUGAUCAGUGAAAAAGUUAUGUUAACAAAAAUAUCAAAAUUGUUAGGUCGAACGUCGUGAUUAAUGAUUUUUAUUUCAACGUAUGAAUGCAAUUAGUCAAGCUAAGGAUUUGAAGAGGAAAUUGUUAGCAUUGAAGUCGAAUCAAUUCUAACUAUCUACAAUAUUAAAACUUUUUCCAAUUUGAUAAUCACAUGAAUAAUUUUGAUCUAAAAUAUUCAAACACAUUUAUAGAAAUCAUUUUUAGGUAAAUGUAUCAAAAUAACAACACUUUACAUUCAACUCAAUCAUUUCAUUUGGUGGUUUUUUCAUUCAAUCCAUUUGUUCUCCAAAAUUUAUAAAACCAAACGUUCAAUCCCCGCGGUCAGCCGUUCAUUAAAGAUAGGACAAUGCUGAACUGUUAAAUGUGUGAAAGUAGUUGCAGUGAACAACACAGUCGUCAGAUGUCUCCACUAAACCAUUGAACCAUGGUUGGCCCGCAUGAAUCAUGAACAACACAGUACAUGAACAAGAUGAUCUACAUAGAAAGAAACCUUGAUGCCAAAAAGCCAAGCAAAAUUAUGUUUUUUUUUCAUUCUCUUUCCUUUUCAUUGUGUGCAUGUAUGUGUAAAUACUAGAUAAAUAUCACUACUUCUAGAAGGUAAAUGGUCGUCUCUUCUACUUGCUAUAUCAAAAUUCUAGCUCUAAUCAAAUAAAAAUCUUUAACAAGGAAAUAAACCAAAUCAGCAUAUCUACAAGUUAUUUAAUCUCAUUAUACCAAGACCAGGAUGGACCUACAGGCCAUGGUAUCAAGAUCCCUUACACUCAUAACCAGUGCAUAUAGAAUAGUCCUUCAUGUGAUCCAAGCCAUGCACCCAAAGAAGAGUCAUGUGUGUAUUGGUUUUCUUCUUCUGCUUUAAACUCUGGGCACCAAAAUAACACAUUCUAACAUAAGUUACAAGAAAACCCACCCUUAAAGUGCUUCUGACAACAAAGGGGAAUAUAUGUAACAUUGAAAGCAGAAAGAGCAAAAGCAUGUCGUGCUUACUAUUAAAUGUUUGAUAGCACACAGUGGAGAGAACUGAAUUAGAGAACUUAUCCUCCAAAAGCAAUUCACCAGACUUGAUACUCCAUAUCCGUAGCUUGCAAUCCUCUCCACCUGAGAUGACUAAGUCAGAAUUUUCAAACAAAAAUGUUAAAGAAAUACUAAUAUCACUGAAAUAACACCCACCUGACAUAACAUAUCUCUCAUAUGGGUCAACACCGAGCUGUAUUUGAGUAUGGGAAUUCACGUGCCCUUCAUAAGAUUGAACCGCACCCCUCUGGACCAUGCGACGGUCGUAUAGCCUUAUCUAAAAAUGAAAAGAACGUGUAAUUAAGAUGUAAUUUCUCUCAUUAUAUGAAGCCCACGGAAAAAUAGCUUCUACAAAGAAUUUUAGGAACAUCAUUUUGUCAGUUCAGGUAACAGAUAUAAGAAAGAGUGAUUUGGUUUGUGCUUGUAAGUGCUUGUAAUGCCUUCAUCAAAAAGAGAGUAAGGCCCAACCCAAAUUCUAAGAUGGCAUCAGAACCUAUCUAAGACAGGACCGAUUGUACCACCCACUCUAUAUGUCCAGCUCUUAGCAUGGGGGGUGAGUAUCAAGAGUACGACAUUGGAUGAGAAAAGGCUUGAAAAUAUGUUUAUCAGUGGUGGGAGUUCACUUACAAGCCGGUAGUUGAGUUAAGCCCAAACCAAACCAAAAUUCUAAGAUCCCCGUGGAAAUUUCACCCAACUACAUGGGAUCUCUAUUAGACUUGGUUUGUGCACAUUAAAUAACCAAAAAUUCAUUUCAAUGUAAAUAUAAGGAAUUCAGAAUGAAUUCACACAAAUGCCUAAACAUGAGAUUCUGCAGCAAAUUAUCAGAAUUUGACGCCAUGUAGAAGUGGUAUUAAAAAUAAAUCUAAGUAGAAGUUUCCCAAAGAAUAAACUAACCGAUCCAUCCAUGGAGCUUGCCAAGAAGUACUGAUCAUCAAAUUGAAGUGAUGCCAAACUAGUAUCAAACCCACAAAAUAAAAAACAGAAAUUGGUCAGUCAAAAUCAAUAAAAUUCUAAUCAAUUAAGAUAUAAGUCAAGUAGACAACUUAGAAGGAAAAAGCUUACUAACCUGGAUAUAGAUGAAGGCAUCUUAAUGGUAUGUGAAGGAUAUAUGCUUCCUUGAAGCUGCAAAGUGAGGGCAUAAGCAUAUCAACAAUAGUUACAGCUAAUAAUGACAACAUUCACAUAUAUAAAAAAAUGUAUACUGGGGUUUAAAUUUGGAUUCACAAAAUGCAGAAGAAACUACUUAAGGACAUUAAAUAGUGAAUAUUGAACAAAAGUGAACAUUUUUUAUACAUCUGUAUCACUCCCCAAUAUUCAAUUAUGGUAAAUUUGAUUAUUUCUUGAAAUCUUCCACCUCUCUAGUCUUUAGUCUUCCACAAAAUGCAGAAGAAACUACUUAAGGACAUUAAAUAGUGAAUAUUGAACAAAAGUGAACAUUUUUUAUACAUCUGUAUCACUCCCCAAUAUUCAAUUAUGGUAAAUUUUGAUUAUUUCUUGAAAUCUUCCACCUCUCUAGUCUUUAGUCUUUUUCAUUCUUAAUUUAAAAAAUGAAGAAAAUACCUUGAACCAAUCUUUUUUAAAACUUCCAACUUUCUUAUUUGAAGAUACAUAUGAUAUCCUAUGCUCAGUAAGUCUACUAGAAAGCAAUCUUUUCUCUCGAAAAUCUACCGAGACAACUGCCCCAUUUCUGAGUCCACAUAAAAUCACAUUUCCCUGCAACAACAAUAAAUAAUUAAAAUAAAAUCUUUUAAGAAUCACAUCCUCAAAAUAUUUAUCAAAAGAUAUCACAUGAUUUUGUUAGAAAGCUGAAACCAUAAAAUAAAAAGUGAUAGAAACCAACAAAUAUCACAUUUCAUUUUACGAAGGAAUACAUUGAAUAAAGGAAGGGAAGGAAAUAUGGAAUAAAAGUAAGCAGGAAGAAGGAUAUAUAUAUAUAUAUAUAUAUAUAUAUAUAUAUAUAUAUAUAUAUAUAUAUAUAUAUAUAUAUAUAAACAUGACCAUCAAUGGAAGAAUAAACAUGACCAAAAAUAAAUAUGACCAAAAAAGUUUAUAUAUUUUUUUUAUUAUAUAUAUAAUAAAAAAAUAACGAAAAAUAAUCAUGACCAUCAAUGGAAGAUCCCAUUUCUAAGGACAAAGAAGCACCUUGAAAUAUACAAUUGACUCCAUGCCAAAAUACACUAAUUAACUUCAAAUUAAGUUUUUCAGUCCUUAUUUUUACAUUCAUGAAAUGGAUAGUGUAAAAUAUAUAAACUUUGUGUAUAUUCUGUGUCUAUAAUGAGAUCACACAUGUUGUACUUUUAAUGGUUUUACAAUAAAUGCAUUGCAUGUUUAAUGAGUAAGCACUAGCCUAGGAAGAUGUAUACUCUAGGAGUAAUAAAAAUCAACCUAGGAAGUUGUACAAUUAAAGAAAUAUCUAAAGAUUCUUAAUUUUAACAUAUAGGAAUGUUACUUCAAAACUGUCGAAAAAUAUAAAGAGAGGAAAAAUUGUGGGCAAAUGUGUGGUGGGGGGGCACAGAUUGAGAGAUAGAGGUUUAAGGGAGGAAGCAUGCAAAGGCGGCGUGAAUCAUAAAAUUAAAUUGCAUCAUUCUCUUCAUAUUUUUGAAGUAAAUUCCAUUUAAUGCGAUGCUCCAGGAAAUAAAUGUCUGUCUCCAUGUUCCUAAUUGAGAAAUAAGACCAGGAAAAAAUUUGUACAUACGACUCAUCUUUAUGUAAACCUCUGAAUGGAAAAUAACUGUGGAUCCUUAUCCUUAACACAAACAUUAUCUAACUAUAAACAAAGAGUCCUAUUUUACAUCCAACAAGAAAAACAAUGACAACAGCAACCACCAAACUUUAUCCCACUAGAAGCGAUUGGAUAAUUCCGGCACUGUUUUCCAUUAAACCUUGUUAUAAUCUUUUCAAAAUUCUCAUGAGCAGUUAAAUAAUUCUGUCUAUUUCCCUUUUGUGGUAAAUUUAAUAGCAAAACAGGUUAAUGAUAUGAUAUGAAUAGUAUACAUACCAUCCGUUUCACUUCAUAUUCAUUAAUCACACUCAAUAAAAAUUGCCAUGAAGACAAGAUCAAAAUGUACAUUUAAUAACAAUAAUAGGUUAAUGAAGAUGUACCAGGCAAUAUUUUUACUAGGGGUAACUUACUGAAUCAACAAUCUGUUGUGCAAAAACAUCACUUUUACAACGUAAAAACCAUGACCUUGUCCCACUUUGAAGAUCCACCGAAGCACCUCCCUGAUUAGUACCUGAGAAAGAUAUAGAGAAACAAAAAUGAAUAUCAAGCAAAAGAUUAGAUAUAAAAUUAACAGGGGAUAUUUCUUAAGGAAAAGUGUAUAUAUCGCAGUUGUCAUCUUUAGGAACUACCAAGUCUUUAUGUUAUUAAAUCAAAUUCUAACGGUGCAUUUUUUACUAUCUUAGCUUGAUAAAAGAAAAAAAGACAUAAAACAGAAAUGAAACAAAUCAUUCACAACCUUAUUGAUAAAGGCCACACCAGAUCACUCUGUGUAGAACUUUACAAAGCCGAAGCUCAGCCAUAAAGAGAUUUAAUGGUUGGAGAACUAGAACAGUAUUUUCCAGAUGCAACAUAUAAUCUAGAAUUCGUGCUAAACCAUUAAGAAAAGUAUGCAUAUUAUUGCCUAAAAUGAAUAUCUCUUAAUCAAAACUCAACUGGGUUGGAAAUUUGGAACCUAUACAGGGAAGGGAAGUGCCAAUAAGAGAACAUGAGCGAUACUAUAUUAGCAUGGCAAUGAAUUAACUCUAACUGUUAGGUCAAAAUUAUGAACAAAAUGACAUUUGGCUGUCUCUGAAUUAAAUAUAAUUUGGCACAAGCACAAACAACGUAGCAUGUGUGUAUGUAAAUGAGAGAUAGGGAAAGAGGGAAGAAAGAGAAAGAAGAGCAAUGUAUAACUUACCAAUUAUAGCCCGAUGUCUAAUAUAAUCGUAUUCAGCUGUCCAAAGGGUACUAUUGAAAGACGUUAUUUCCUCUAGUCUGCUCCAUGUGUUCAAUAUUCCUUGUCCAAGAUCUAUUGGAUCAACAAGACUGAUGGUAUAAACAGAUCCACCAGAUGUUUCUGAUCCCAGCGUAGUAAAUCUAUUUUGCAUGUUAAGAUCUUUAACUUCAUGUUCAACUGUAUCCAAAAUAUGCGGAAUUGGAUGUCCCAAUAUCCGUAGUAUAUUAUACAAAAAAUGCUAUAUUAUUAAAAUUAAAAGUGAGAAGUGCUAAUCUUGCAAUUGAAUCUUUGUAAUUCAUGCAUAAUUGAAUGUUUAUAUUUAAGUAGUGCUUACAGGGUAAUAACAAAAUCUAAACCCUGAAUAAAUGAAUGACAAAUUAAUUAAAGGAUACAAUAUAUUUCCAACAAUUGGAUUGUCAUUCGCAGCAUGAGGGGAUACAUUUGGACCCAAUCUUAUACAAGAUAUUCUGGAGGACAUAAUCAGUGUAGCUCCAUUAGGUCUGAAAAGCGGCCCUGGGACUUCGUUAUGCUCAUCUGUUUUCCCUUUAAUACGACUCUUCACACAAUCAGGCAUCCACUUUACCCCAUCAUCGAAAUUUUGCCCAAUCCUUCCAACUUCAGAAAAACUGUGUGUACCAAACUUCACAAGGAACAACUAGUAAAUAGUAAUCAACAUUGUGAAUCAAAGUUCACCAAAAUCAAUUAAAAAGUAAAAAUGUUUUUAUGUUCAACAGUUCAAGUCCAACCAAUGUGAUCUAAUCAAUAUGCAGGAUCAUCAAAGUACUCAAAACAUUUGGAGGUAUAUCGGCAUUUGCUGUCACUUUAAGUUCUAUGAUAAUGUUGUAAAAAGAAGAACAACGCAAAAUGUAAACUUAUAGUGAAUAAUUUAAUGUCAAGAUGAAAAUAUACUGACUGAAUGAUUAAUACGGAACAUAUUAACUGUCAAUGGCAUCAUUAGUAAGGUAGGUGAUUAACUUAAAAGCUAUAAAACCAUCUCUUGAUAUUCUUUAUGCAAUGAAAGCGUAUCUAAUUCCUCUUUCCCUAGGAUAAUAACUGAAGAUCAUGUAUUCCUUAUUGUAUUGAGUUUCUCUGCUUACAGUUCAGACAAGUACAUUUUUAACUUGGGAGGGUAUAUCUCAAAUAAUUAGCACAGAUGCUUUUAUGCAAUGGAAUGAAUUUAUCAUUUUGUACAUUUUGACAAGAUAAUUGUUAUAAUAUUAUUAAAAUAUCUUAUAAUAUCUUGAUAAUAUGUUAGAGCGCCUAAGUUUAUCUAGUAUUGUCGGUUUCUAUAUUUAUUUUUUGUUAUCAAAAACAGUUCAGGUGAGUUAGAUCACGGUAACUAAUCAGGGUUAGAGCACGCCUCAAGGCUCAAAAAAGCACAAAGAAGUCCACACAUUGGCAGUGGGAGUUGAAUCCACACCCUUGCAGCUUGCCAACUGGAUCAAGAUGACACAAAUUUUAUGUUAAAUCACAGUAGUUCUUACAACACAACACAACACAAAUCCAAAAACCUAUACCAUUAUUACUAACUUAUGUUGCCAGCAUAAGAUCUAAUAAUUGAGGUGCUUCUUUGCAAAAAGGGGCAAACUGGUUCAAAGUUUAACAUGGCAGUGGAACAAAAAGGUAAAGCGUUGAGGAAAAUGUAAACCAUUUCCAAAGCUCUAUCAAAACACAACACCAUUUCAGAAUUUUAAAAUGGCACAGGUUCAAAGAGGUUCAUAAUAACCGCUCACACGUAUCAUCAUUCCACCACUAAUAAAAUCACAAUCUGUAAACUCAAUUAUCAAAAUCCAAGAAUUAUUAAUGUUGAUAUACAACAAUUCAAUGGUUAGAUUAGAUAUUCUCUCAAAUGUCCUAGAAUUAGUCAAAGAAUGCAAGCAAAUACCAAUGCAAACGGAAAAAAUAAAUUACAAAUUACCUCAGCGAGCCAUUUAUGCUGCCAUUCAAUAAAACAUCAGUUCGAAAUCUACCCUCUGCUGUCUGCACAUCAACAUUUAAGUGUUCCAAAGCACUAAUACCAAUCCUAUUGGUUCCCUGAUACUUCCAAACCUGCAAACCCAAUCUUACAUUAGACUCAACUCAAACACAACAAUCACAUUAUCAAAAUAAACGGAACCAAAAUAGUCUAAGAAAUUAACAUACGGCAGGCUGAGAUGUUUGUAUUUUCCGGAGUUCCUCAGUGAAGUUACACUUGCAAUAGUGUGAGGCAUUGACAUGACGACCAUCUAACUCCCUAAUCUGCAGCAGCUUAGACGUUCUGUUUCUAAGCUUCCUGCAAGAACUCCUAUUCUUUUCCUGUAACUAAAAUCAAUCAAACUUCAGAAUUCAAUUCAAUGGCUUAUAUAAAAAUUGAAAAGGCCAAUACGGAAAUAUUCAUGUAUUAUACACAAUGAGUGGGGAUCAACUUAUUCUAUGAGUAACUUUUGUUAUAAUUACUCCUCCAUAUAAAUCACUAUAUGCAUUGAAUUUCAUUAAUCCAAUUGUUGAACAUGUCAAUAUUAUAUUAAUCAUCAUGCACACCAAACUUCAGAAAAAAAAACAUUACAGUCUACCUCUUUUUGGCAAACAAUAUAGGAUAGCGGAUAAGAUAGCUGAUAGCAUAUAAGCUAACUGAUUGAAUUUUAAUUGUUCGGUAAAAUCAACAGUUGAACUAGCUGAUAAAUAUAAAAUGACAUAAAAAGAUAGUUUUAAAUAUAUUUCAAUUUUUGAGUAAAGAUAAGGAGGGUAUAAACAACAGAAAAAAAUGAUAUACUAUAAAUUAUAUGCUCAAACGCUACUUAAAGUAGCAUCUAAGAAAACUAUAAGCUUGUGAAAAAACUUUAUAAGCUCUUAAGAGAAUGACUUACCAAACAGUUAUACGAUUUUAUACACUGUAAGUUAAUCGCCAAAAAGUAGCAUUUUGGUCUUGUCAAACAGUGCCCUAAUCUUAUCUUAUAGUCAAUAUUCACUUGUAUUUUAACACAAUAAAAAAUAUAUGCAUUCAGUUAAAGCUAUUUGAUGAAGCAUGAAAUAGUUGAAAAUUCACGUAGUUAAUAAAUUUAAUAUGAAUUUCUAAUUUGACAGUUGGAUUAAGAUUAGAAAUUCAAUAACCAUGGUGAUUUCUAAAUCAGAGUUACUCAUGGAGUAAAUGGUUCUCCACUCAUACAUUGUCAAUGUAAAUUAGUUUUACACAUCCAAUGAAAACUCGUCAUUUUCCCACAUAACCCCACUUUUGCAACUGAAAUUUAAAAUUAACGGUAUGACGUAAAAAAACAAAUUUCUACCGUAAAACUAAUUUACACUGUCAGUGUAUGCCCAUUUUUUUCUUUAUUUGUUGUUAGCCUGGCCUAUGGCUAACACGUACUCAAAUAAACACACAGGGAGGGUGGUGACCCGGGAUUCCACAUAAAAUGUCCUCACAACCAAAUCAUUGCGUCGUAACGACGAGAACCAUUGUUUGCCUAUUAAACUUUGUAUAGAAUAUAAUAUAAUAAUAAUAAUAUACCUGAGAGGAAGAGGGUUGGGAAGGCCUUGGAGUAAUGAUUUUGGUCUUAGAAGAAGAAGAGCCAGGAAUGGGACCUUUGAUGGGGAAAUACCUGUUCUUCUCUGGGUCAAAGUAGAACCCAGGAAGCUCUGUCUCAAAAAAAAAAUAAAAAAAACAAACAAACAUGAAUCAAUUAGCAUUAAUAAUCAUUGUUAAUUAAACAUUAUUAGCAAAACGAAAACAAACAAAAGUUUUUUAGAUAUGUGUAUUGAACAAAUUGUUAAUUGGUUAACCUCGUGCUGGUGGCAUGUUCUUGAUGCUUCCAAACCAGAGAAAAACGAACGACCUAAGAGGUUGGUGGUUUGCGGGACUGUGGAAAAUGUUAACGAUCUUAUGCGGCGGAAUCAGUAUUUGUUUGCAAUUUAUACCUUGUCAUUUUUUAAUAGUUAUUGAUUUUUAAUUUGAAGCUUUUUGCAUUAUUUUAGUUUUUUUUUUAAUAAUUAUUUUUGUGAGUGAAGUAUGGAGAAGUGGAGAACUCAAGGUUGACCCUCGACUCGUGCAUAUCAAUAUCAAUAGGGUUACCAACUGAUUUACAAGACUAUUUUGAUAAUUUUUACUCUUCCGUUUCUAAAUAUAAGCAAAAUUGACUUUUUAGAUUCAUUCAUUUAAUGAUGAAUGUCGUUCAUAAUAUGGACCACAUUCAUCAUUAAAUGGAUAAGCAUAAAAAGUUAUUUUUGCUUAUAUUUAAAAACGGAUGGUGUAUAACUAUAAUAAUUAUAAUUUUAGAAUGUCUAUUUUUUCAUAUUAAAUAAAUAAAUAUUUUCAUUGUUACUUUUUAAUUGUUAUUUUUUAGAAAUUUUGUCUUUCUAUUUAAUUGUCAAAGAUAUAUUGUAGGAAAUAUAUAAUAAUUUUGGCAUAAACUAGAGGAAAUUAUAAAGAGACUAAUGUGUAUCUAUAUUUGUUUUUCUAUAGAGUUUAAUUGUAUAUCUAUUUUAUUGAACAUGGUUAUAAAUUUGUAUGAUUCUUGUUUUUACAAGUUAAUUAUAUAUUAAAUCAUAGAAUUGUGCCAACAACAAACUUUGUUUUUGCAAAGAAUUGGUGGAAAUGAUGACUUAUAUCUAUUUUGGUGAGGCCUCCUUGAAACUUCCUUUCACCUAAAUCAACGAUACAAGUACUAUGGCCUAGGAGGGGAUGUUGGUCCUUAUGUAUGAGAUAGUUUUCAAGGAAAUGAGAUUUGGGAUGCCCUUUUCCUCCAUCGAGAAGAGCGUUUUUGAGUAGUUAUAAUCUCACGCCUUCUAAACUUCAACCAAACUUGAUGGCGUUCAAGAUAGUAUGUUUCCAUUUGGAUAUGCUUCCAACCUUGUGUAUCUUCUUCGAUAUAUUUAUUUUGCAAAGAUCGACUGCUAUGCUAUCUAAGGCAACAUCAAUUGGGUUUCUCUGAAAUAGCCUACAAAAACAUUUGAGAUGCUCGCGGUUUCAAGAAUAAGUAUUAUCUUAUUUGUCCUUAGAGGAUGGUUGCGACUUCAACUCUAAUGGUGACGAGGACAAUCCAAGAUGAUGUCAGGGUUGUGAUUACUAACAAUGUCUUCGCGCCAGUUACCAAGCAAGUGCUUCAGUUCCCUUUAUACUAUACUAGAUUGAGGAUCAUUGCAAGCAUAGGAGCAAAGAGUAUACUUUUUCUACGAAUAACUCUUACGGACAAAUUGUGACCAAAACUUGCUACAUUCACACCUUUAGGUUAGUUAAGUCAAUCUGAUGAAGAGGCAAAACACAUUUUCAGUAAGUUGUAUCCUUUUAGUUUUGAUUUUGAUCUUGCAUUUGUUAUAAUUUUCACAUGUCUCUGACUUUGAUUCUUCCUUUGUUCAGGUAAAAUGUCUAGCUUUCAAGAAAAUUUGGUGAAAUUGAACCAAAAAAAGAAAAUUGCUAAGGGGAAGCUCACGACUUUGAAGAAUAAUAUUCCUUUACAAUUCAAAUAUGUAAAAUACAAUCGGAGAAAUAUCUUAACUUUUUUUUUUUUUUUUACAUAUUUUACAAUUUAAAAUCCUUAGGUGUAAAAAUUAUGAAAAUUGUAUUUUACAUAUUUGAAUUGUAAUUUUUUUGAAAUAUCGACAAGAAUAUCUUCAAAAAUUGAAAUAUCGACGAGAAUUGUAAAAUCCAGACAUUCUCAGAUGGGAAUAAAGGAAAACACCUUUAUUCCUCAAUUCCCCUAAAGGGGUUGUGGUGAAUCAUACUUCUGAGUACAACAGUGGUGAAACAUUUGCGAUUGAGGAAUCCUCAAUUUCCCUCGAUAUUUUAAUUUAAAUGACCAAGGUGUUUUCCUAUAUAUGUUGCGCAAUAUGACUGAGAAAUUUGAACUUCAUAGCUAAAGGGGUUGUGGUGAAUCAUACUUCUGAGUACUACAGUGGAAGCCUUAGACACAGGGAGGCACCAAGGUCUACACCUAAUAUGCUAUUACAAACAUGGAUUUUCUCUUGGUAUAAAUUUUGCAAUGGUAAUCACGUGAUUGCAUCUGUAGUUAAUAGCACUGCGAUAGGUGCUAGAAUUGUCACAGAAAAUAGUUAUCAUCAUUUUCAAGAACCCAAUGAGGUUUGCUUCACUCUGCAGUACCUUGCUUCACUCCUUAGCGCCUUGCAGGUUUUACUCCAACAACCAGAUAGUGGAGCUUUAAAGCCAUCUACACCCCAUGUAUGUAAUCUGAUAAGUACCAGUUAUAUUCAAAGACCAAAACACAUCAAUUAAAGGUUCCUUCAUGUUGCCUGCACUCAUAAUAUUGAGUCUCAACUCUCAAGCCCCUUUGUAUGCAAUCUGAUAAGCGAACAUUGCUUCUUCUUUCUCUUCAAAACCCUAUAAACCAUUCAAAAACCCAAAGAAGCCGUCCACAAAGAGCCACCGAGCGAGGUCGAAAACACGUCAAAGACUAUAAUCUUCAAAUUCAAGGAAAAGGUUCCUAAGUUGAAGAAGAAACUAAAGGUUGUUUGCUGGUAGAAAGAUAAAUGUGUACCAUUUUUUUAUUUGUUUGGCGUUUGAUAUGAAUAACCAAGAGUGAAAGAAUUGUGAUCAUUGACAUUUUGUGUAAUCUAUUGAGGAUCGGAAGUGUUUGAAUAAGUGAUUUUUGGGUAUUUAUCUGGGUUCAUAUGUGGGAAGAGAAGCAAAUGUGUUGGCAUAGGAUUUUUGGUCGGUUUUGUGGUUCUUUUGGAGGUAUGGAUUUGGGUGGACAUGUGUUGAGAGAACAAUUGGUGUUGUGUGGGGUUAUAUUCCCUAUUGUUUUUCAGAGGUUGUUGGUUACAUUGUUGGUUCUUGUAAUUGUUGUUGGGGGUUUUGGUGCGAUCAACUGAUAAUAAGUGUUGUAAGUUGUUUUGUGGCCACUUGUGAUGAAGUUUGAAGGUUUUUUAUCACAAUAUUUGUUUAUGUUGUUGUGUGUGGGUUUGAAUUUGGCUUUGAUGCUGACUUUGUUUUUGGUGUUGUGUUUUAUUGAUUUCAGUGGUAGCUCUCUAUUGGUUGGUGUGUCUUGUUGCUUUUUCAAAUUUUGUCUUUGAUGUACAAGGUGUAUGAGUUUUCUUUUGAGUGUUCUGCAUAUAUAUGACACCCUUUGCUAUGUUAUUUCAGUAUUGUCUAUCUUAGUUCGUCUUGUACAUGAACUUGGUUAUAAAUAAAUUUUGUCGUUUUAAAAAAAGAAGAUGAUAUUUUAUAUCUCAAGGAAAUUUGUGUAUGCUCAGUGAGUUGUUGAUUAUGGAUCUUCUUAUAUGUUGGCGGUCGGGUACAUAUCAUGUCUUCAAGGGUUUGGGUUAGUUGAACUCAGAUAUGGUUUGUUGCUCGCGAUCUUUAGUGCGUCACAAUUUUUGCUUUUAGCAAUUUUGUUUCGCUCUCGUAAGCGUGUUAGUAGAUUGCGCCCGUAAUGUGUGUAUGCUUGCUUGUUGGCUCUUUGCCCUUUUGGGUUGUUGUUAACACAUUUAGUGUCGAUUUUCUUUUAGGAAAAUGCUAUUUCUCUAGAAAAAUAGCAUCAAGAAUUUUUCAAGACACAACUGGCAAGUUUUAAUUUCAUGAUUUAUUUGUUCACUUCUUAUUUUUCGAGUCACACCUCUUUGAAUUGUGGCAAAUAGUGCAUUGUGAUUGACUGCUCUUUAUUCUUGAAGAAUUAUUGAUGUUAUUUUUCUGGAAAAUGCUAGAUAUCAAGAUGAUUUUAUCAAGAAUGACAUGACACAAUAAUCAUCCUUAGAUUUCAAUCUUAUUUAUUAACCUUUCAUAAAAUAAAAAAAAUACAUAACACCCACCACCUCAUGAUUUCUGGCCAGGCUGAGAUUUAUUGGCUAACAUUAAUUUCAGGACAAUUUCUUGAUAAAAUCUAAGGGUGAUUAUUCUGCCAUGUCAUUCUUGAAUCUUUCUUAAUAAAAUCUUUCUUGAUAUAUAGCAUUGCUCUAUUUUUCUAGAGAUAUAACAUUACUCUUUCUUUUAUUGCUUUGGUUGAGUUAGUUUUUACAUUCUCUAGUCAUUUGUAACGUUUUAUUUUUUAUUUUUAAUCUAUCUAGAGUAUUAUGGAUAAUUCAUCAUCACUUGUUUCUCAUUUGCCUUUUAAAAAAGGAUUGUGUUAACCGGUGCCUCCGGGGUACUGGUUAAAGUAUCUAAAAAAGAAAAAAUUAAAUUAAAAAUGACACUUUUUUGACUUUUGAAAAUUGAUUACACAAUUUUCAAUGUAAAAGCUACUAUAUUUGCUUCCUUAACCAGUGUCCCAAAGGCACCGGUUAAUAUUUUCCUUUAAAAAAAAUAUGGACUACUAAUAAAUAGAUCAAUUGUUGAUAUUAUAGAAAUAUCAUGAUUCCCUAAAAAAAAAAUAUAUAUCAUGAUAAAAGAUGAAUUCAAUUAUUAUCAUACUAAAAAGGCUUAAUUAGGGUUGUUUGGUUUGUGUGUUGAAUAAAAUGGAUUCCUUGUACCUACAUGCUUUAUUCCUUGUUUAUUUUAUGGUUGAGCAUAGAGGAUAGGCAGGGGCGGUUCUAAGGCUCGGCGACCCCGGACACUCGCCCGGGCUCCGGGCCAAAUUUUUUGCAAUUUCUUGUGUAAAUCCCUAUGAAUUUCUUAUAUAAACCCCUAUAAAUUGGGCAAUUUCUUUACAUUUUUUAUUAUUUGCUUGCAAUUUCUUAUGUACGCCUUAUAAAUGUGUUGCAAAUUUUUUUUUGCCCGGGCUUUACAAUAUUCCUGGCUCCGCCACUGAGGAUAGGUCUAAAACUGCGAUUUCUCUGCAUUUCUGGAGUUGAAAAUAGGAUGUAGGACUAAAACUGCAAAAAAAACAUGAUAAUUUAUGGACAAUUUUGUUCGAUUUGAAAGAGACAAGACCAUUUUCGUGAGCUGGUCAAAAUGCGAAGACCAAAAGUGUAAUUAAGCCUACUAAAAAUGAAUUUAAUUUUUGAUAAUCUCUCUCUCCUACAAAAGAAUUAUCAAUAGACUUUCACUUUUUUUUUUUGGAAAGAAAUAGUCUCCCAUUACUAUCUACUCAAUUUGGAAUAGACGAAUCCUAAUAGAAGAAAAUGUCAUGUUAACUAAUGUCUCUCAAGCACUAAUUAAAAAAGUUUUUUUUUUAAUUAAACUUUUAAAAAAGUAUAUACUCACUUUUUAAACAAUUUCUAAUACGAUCUUUCUAAUUUUAUUUUAUUAAAUAGUGCCACAGCUGCACUAGUUAAUAUUUUCAUAAAAAAACAUUAUCAAUUGCUUAACAAAUCAUUUUGUUUUUUUAAGAGAAAUUCAAUUGUCUAAUAACAACAAGGUUAAAUUAGACAACAUUAGUCCCAUACAUCCUAAUUCAAUAUUGCAAAAUACCGAAAUUGUUAUGCCAGAUUUAUGACCGGAGUUUGAAUCCAACUAAGGUUUAAACCUUGAACCUUACAUAUAUAAUGUAUUGUUCAUACUCCAUACCAAUUGAGUUAAGCUCACGACGCCAUCUCAUCUAUAAAAAAAAAAAAGUAAAAAAUUAGACAGCAUUAUUCCUCCCCCACCACCAAAAAAAAGACAGCAUUAUUGAGCAAUAUAAGGCAACGUUUGUCGUUAUAUGUGAUACGAAUAAAUAUUCACGUGAUACUGAAACUUCGUGAUAGUACUUUUGGAUACAUGUCUGCAAAGUAUCAAAAUAUUUUAUUUUUUGUGUAAAUGUAUCUUUUAUCAAUUAUCAUUCUAUAGAAAACAUGAAAUUUUGAUCCCUAUUUUAAAUCCGGUUUUUGGUUCCUUAAUUUCAUUAUGAUUAUUUUUUCUUGGCUUAAUACUCCCUUCGUUCCAAAUUGUAUGAUGUUUUGGGCAUUUCACACAUAUUAAGAAAUGUAAUUAAUAUUGUGUGGGAAAUAGAUAUUAUGAGUUGUUUUACAAAAUUAUCCUUAAUAAAUGAUAUGAGAAAGAUAAAUGAAAGAAUUGAAAAAAGAAAGAGUAAUAAAUAGUUAAGGAUAUAAUAGGAAAAAUAACAUUAAUGUUUCAUUGGUAUUCUAAAGUGACAUACAAUUUGGGACAAAUAUUUUUUCUAAAGUGACAUACAAUUUGGGACGGAGGGAGUAGCAUUUUUGCCCCCUAACUUUCACGAAGUUGUGAUUUUGACACCCUAAGAAAAAACUACAAAACCGCACCCCUAAGUUUUGCAACUGUAGCAAUUUUGACCCACCAAGACCAAAUUUUGGUAAAAAAAAAACAAUAGAAAAACACGUGGCACCUCACUUAGGGUGCCACAUCAGCGUAGACCGAGUCAAAAUUAGCCUUGGGGGCCAAAAAUGCCACAGGUGCAAAACUUAGAGGGCGGUUUUGUAGUUUUUUUCUUAGAGACCAAAAUCACAACUUUGGAAAAGUUAAGGGGCUAAAACUGCUAUUAAGCCUUUUUUCUUCUUAUUUUGAAGUUUUUUUCUUCUUGAUCAUACUUUUCAUUAAUGAUGUGGUUGAAUUGAUAUGAUCACACCAGCAAAACAAAAAAUAUAUCAUAAGCAUUGCUCCAUUAUUUAUGACCGGACAAUGAGAUGAAUGAUCUUAUUCGAUGAUGCACAAAUAACCAAUUUUUAGGUAUUGGUAUGAAUUGAUGAAUCAAGCAAUUAUGCGUAGAGAGUGACGCUGCUAAAGCAUAAUUUUAUUUUGAGAGAAUGUUGGUUAGUGUUUUGUUGUAUCAAAGUAUUAUUGUAAGUCUAUGUGAGCUUAACUCACUUAGUAAGGACAAUGCAUAAUAUAUGUAAGAUUUGAAUUUGAACCCUAAACACUGUAGAAAAAAAAGUAUUAUUGUAAAUUUACGUUGUGUUGAUAAUUUUCCGUACAAUGUAUCACUAACCAUAUAAACAUAAACGUUGCUUACUUAAUAUGCAUUAUGAUUAAUUAACGUCAUGUGUUUUUAUAGUAUAACUUAAAUUUUAAAUUUUCGUGAUGUCAUAAGAGAGCAUUACGACUUAAGCCACAAACACAAAUAUUUUGAAUUUAAACACACUUCUAAAUCCUAACUGUGUCACUCUCAUAUAUAUUACAAGGUCAUUCAGCCCUACUAUCAAAGCAAAUUAAUCCUUCCCUUCCCUAGCUAGUACCAUAGAAAUGUUUCCCUUGUUGUGUUACUCUCUCCUUUUUCUUAUUUUCCUUCUUACUUGCAAACUUAUUUUCCAAACCAGAAGAAAAUUCAGAAACCUUCCCCCAGGUCCACCAUUUCUUCCCAUAAUUGGCAACCUUCACCUCCUUCAACCUCCACUGCACCUCACCUUUCAACGUAUAUCACAAAAAUACGGCAACAUCUUUUCCCUCCGAUUCGGUUCGCGCCUUGUAAUCGUGAGUUCAUCACAAUCUGCAUUUCAAGAAUGCUUUACCAAAAACGAUGUUGUAUUAGCCAAUCGACCGUAUAAUAUUGCUGGCAAGUACAUCUUCUACAACUGUACCACCAUAGGAUCAUGCUCCUAUGGUGAUCACUGGAUCAACCUCCGUCGAAUAAGUACUCAAGAUCUUCUUUCGAUACAACGAGUACACUCCUUUUCGGGGAUUCGAAGAGAUGAGACCAAUAGGGUGAUUCAUCAAUUGGUCAAGGAAUGCUCGUGCUUGAAAUUUGAACAAGUGGAGCUAAGUUUUAUGCUUCAUAACAUGAUGUACAACAACUUGAUGAGGAUGAUAUCUGGAAAGAGAUACUAUGGGGAAGAGAUUGACGCGAAGGAUGCGAAAGAAGCGAAGGAAUUUAGGGAGACGGUUGAGGAGAUGGUGAAAUUAACAGGGGUUUCAAACAAGGCAGAUUACUUGCCCUUUUUAAGGUGGUUUGAUUUUCAGAAUUUAGAGAAGAGGUUACAAAAUAUAAGCAAUAGAUUUGAUGCUAUCUUGAAUGCACUCAUUUAUGAGAACCGUAGUAAGAUGAAGCCAGAGAAUACCUUGAUAGAUCAUCUCUUAAAACUUCAAGAAUCACAGCCUGAGUAUUAUACCGAUCAGAUAAUCAAAGGACUUAUUUUGGUAUGGAUUUUAAUUAUUACUAUUAUUAUUAUCAAAUGAAGAUCAUACUUGCAAUGAUAAAAUAUAUGCUUGAAAUUUUAUACUAUCAUAUUUAUAUUCAGUAUUAUAUUUGUUAUUCUAGUUACUCUAAUUUUAAUUCAAAAAUGAAUUAUGAUUUUUUUAACACAAAAUAAUCUUUUUAUAAAGUAUGAGAAAAUACAAAUAGUACUUGAUCCAUUAAACGGAGAAAAAUACAAGGGUAUUCAACCGACCGAAAAAUGAUGACUAUCACCUAAAAAAUAAGACAAAGAAAAGGAUAAUGUUUCAUGAACACCCUUUUCUUCAUACACAUUAUGUACCACUCCUAUGUGAGAGUGCGUGAAUGUGAGUUUUUUUUUUUUUUUUUUUUGUGUGGGGACCAAAUAAACACAUGUUACAUUUGUGUGUGGGUGUACAAGUGGUACAUGCCACCUAAGGUGGUCUAUGUAUCACUACUCAGAUUUAAAUUUCAAUUUGAACAUUCAUGUUGUAUGUUUUUAAAUUAAAUUUUAUUAAAAAAAUAAUGUAAAAUCUUUCUUCCUAAGAUAUAUUUGUAGAGACAAUUGUCUGACUAAAAAUAGUAGUUAAAUUUGAAGUUACAUUUAUCAAAUUUAUUGCUUAUAAAAGUAAAAAGAAAUCACUUCAUAUUGAUAAUUUGCAUCUUUUAGGCUAUGCUCUUUGCAGGAUCAAACUCAACAGCUGUAACUUUAGAAUGGGCAAUGUCUAAUUUAUUAAACCAUCCAGAAGUGUUGAAAAAAGCAAAAGAGGAAAUGGACACUUAUAUAGGACAAGACCAUUUGUUAAAUGAGGUUGACCUUCCAAAACUUCCUUACCUUAAGAAGGUCGUCCUAGAGACACUUAGGAUGUACCCUCCAGCUCCAUUGCUAUUUCCACACUUGUCUUCAGAUGACAUUGUUAUGGAAGGAUUCAAUGUUCCACGUGACACUAUUGUGCUUACUAAUGGUUGGUCAAUGCAAAGGGACCCUUUGGUGUGGAAUGAACCCACACAUUUUAUACCUGAGAGGUUUGAUAAAGAAGGAGAGGAGAAGAAGUUGGUUGUUUUUGGGUUUGGAAGAAGGUCUUGUCCAGGAAAGGCCAUGGCUUUGCAUAACGUUUCCUUUAUUUUGGGAUUAUUGAUUCAAUGCUUUGAUUGGAAACGAGUGAGUGAAGCAAAGAUUGAUAUGAGUGAUCAAAAUUUGUUCACCUCAACAAAGUUGGUUCCAUUGAAGGCCAUGUGCAAAGUCCGUCCAAUCAUCAAUAAGAUUAAUUUGAAUAAUUGAUGAUAAAUUUACCAAAAAAUAAAAUAAAAUUGGACCCAUUUGGAGUUGGCCUAGUGGUUGACUUGAGAUCUUGAAGUUUGCUCCUCUCAAGGUUUUAGGUUCGAUUUUCUCUGGUGUCAAUUUCAGUGGGCUAAGUCCAUACGGAGCUAUGCUCUAGCUUUAAACGGACCCCCCAAGUAGGCAGUGGGAUUGGUCCCCUCAGAUUAGUCAGUUUUUGGAUCGGAGACCGAGUUUUUUUUUUUAAAAAAAAAAAAGCAAAAUUGUAUGUUUUGAUACAUCAUAUCAAAUGUUUCAAAAAUAAAUAUGUGAUAUCAAGUGUAAUAUUAAUUAUCAAAUUUUAGUAUUGUUCUUGGUUAAAUCCACGUGUAUGUUUUGAAAGUACUUAAAAUUGGUAGGAUGGUGAUGUUUUCUUGUUGGUGAUGUGAAUAUGUGCUUUUAUCACAUGGUGUUUUGUUUGGCAAAUUUUACGUACACCCAACAUAUUUGAGUGUACUGAUACAUCAACCCUUUAAUUUUAUAGGUAAAUAAGUUAUUUUUUAUCAUUUAUAAUUAUAAUGAUUAAAUAUUUUUCAUCAAAAAUACAAACGAAAUAAUUUUUUUUAAUUUAUAUCGCUCAUAAUAAAUAACUUUGAUUUAUACGAUAGUAUGUAAAAAAAUUACUAUAAUUCUUAUAAACAAUUAAUGAUGCGUUUUUCUUUUGAAAUUAUAUUUUCUAAAAUAUAAAUGCUGACAAAUAAUUAUUUAUUUCAUAAAAUUGAUCGUUAGUUUAUAAAUUUAUAAAGCAAGAGUACCAGUACACCUCAAUUUACAAGUGUACUGUAAUAGUUCCCGUUUUGUUUUGGUGUUUCUUGUUUUGUGUUGUAGGGUAGGGGGAUCGUUAUGUGAUGCCACAUGAUUGAAACUUAUUUCUACUUGUCUUGUGUUUCAUUAUGUUAGUAUUUUGACAAGUCAUUGUGUAUCCUAUCAAUGGUAUUCUGAUUUAGGAGCAGUUUUGUAUAUUUUGUGCUAGUUUGAUCUUCUUCCAUAAAAUUAGUUUGCUCAUAAACAAAAUUAAACUAGUUGCACACCGGGGUUAUAUUGCAUGAUGCUAAUACAAUAAGGACGUGGAUUUCCAACAAAACACCAAACAUUUGCAAUCUCAUUUCGAGCUUUCCAAAUUGACCAUAUGGAAAAUUCAGGCAAAAUCUUCUGUUGAAAGACAACGAUGUUCUUCGAAAUAUAGGGCUGGAAAAUGUCUUGAAGCAUGAUAAUAUCCUAAAGAUCUUUGGAAUGAAUGAGUAAUAGGGCUCAAUGGGUCUUGGCAACAUAACAACCAAGGGAAUAUAAUACUAUGUUGGUAAGGUACAUCUUUGUAUCUUGAAAGAGAACAAAGUAUACUUGAGAGUUACCUCAUCCUUAGGCAACGAUUUUCCAUAAUAUUUGAAAAGAUUGAGAUUUGAAAUUGUUCAUUGUUGCGAUGAACUCCAAUUAUUCCAAGACAAUCUUUUAUAAAUUGCAUACUUUCAGAACCAAAUUAAAUAUCAAACUCUCAAAUAUACAAAAUCAAUCUAGCUAAACACUUAGCAGAAAAACAAACUUGAUAAUCUCAAGUCCUUGUAGAUCGAUAUUUUUAUUACGACGAUAAGCUCGUGUACUUACGAGCAUAUCAUUGCUGCAUCCAAUGUCAUCCAUGUUAUGUAGAACAAUCCAUUGUAAAAUGUGUGCACAAUUAGCCAUUUCUCCAGCGCAUGGUUUGGGCACAAUUGAAGGAUCUCUUUAAAGAUCUCAUAAGCUUCAUACAUAUUUUUAUGAAAAGAUUGUGAUUGAUCCCACAUAGGCAAUUUUAGAUGGCGAUUGAGAUGUAGUUGACUAAGACACUCCCAUCACCCAAUUUAUUACUUAGAAAAUUUUGAAAAUCUUCAUGCGUAAUCCAGGCCGCCUCAAAUCUGGAAGGAAGAUCUCUACUAGACACUAGUUCCUCCUCAGUAUGAACAAUAAUAGGGUGGUGAUCAUACUGCACACCCGAAAAGACUUUAGCUAUCCCAUCAUGAAAUCUCAAUCUCCAACUGACAUUGCAGAGAAUGUGAUCCAAUCUCUUAAAGACUCUAUCUCUUCCACUCCACUUAGGUCCCCUCCAAGUAAACUUAGUCCUGCUGUAGUAACUUCCAUCAACCUACGGUGAUUGAUUCGAUUGUUAAAAUUCUGACAUUUUCUAAUGUCCACCUGCACUCCUCCUUUUUCUCAUUUGGAUUUGCAAUCUUAUUGAAAUCACCCAUCAUAACCCAUGGUUCUUCAAUAGUAGCCGCCAUAUGGUGAAGCUUUUGCCAUGUUUCGUUCCUCUCGUGCUCCCGAGGACUCGCAUAAACCACCGUAAGCAAUCAAGGGUCCAUACUCUGCUCGCUAACCUGCACAUGGAGAAAGUGAAAGUCAGUUUUAAUUAAAUGAACAAUAAUGUCUAUUCUGUUCCACAUCAGCAAAAUGCCCUCAAAGAAUCCUCUUGGUGCAGAAACUAAAUAUUCCCUCCGUCCCUACAUCUAAGCACUCUUUUAUUAGAGGCAAAUGGUGCUUACAUAUAGAGACGGAGGGAGGGAGUAAAAUUUAAAGCCAAGCUUUUUUAUGGUGUUGAUUGCAAUGUUGCCGCUACACCGUGUUUCCUGCAAGGCCACCACAUGCACUUUAUUAUUCCUGAAAAAAUUAGUAAGUGCUUGUCGGAAAUUUUUUCCUUGAGCACCCCUACAAUUCCAAGUUAUCAUAAUCAUUAAAAAAAAAAGGAUAACACACAAAAGAAGAUAAAAAAAAAAAAAAAACCAUUAAUUCAUGCCCAUUUGAAUAUCAUGGGUCAUCAAACCCAUAAUAUCUUUUUCUUCAGUGCCAUGCUCUUCACGACCUCUCUAUCCACAUUUUUGUUGAUUUCUUCAAUUUGCAUGUGAUCUUUCCCCAUUAAAUUAGGAUCGGGAGGCUUAUUGUGCUUAGUUGGAUUCCCAUCCUUCUUUAUAUGUCCUUCAUACUGUUGGGUAGGCAUGGUAGCUGCUAGUUGUUGCUCUCUUCCCUUGCUGGGCACCACAUUGGACUGCACCUGCCUCUUGAUGAAUAUGGCUCCGACCCCUUGCUUAAAAACUUUAGGCUGGACACCUUCUUUAAUAACAUUGUUUCCUCUUAACACUUCAUAUAAUGCUACUUAUCCUCUAUAUUAAGAUAUAUUACUCUCAUGUAACUAAACAAAAAAAUAUAGUACUCGCCCCCUAUGAAAUAAUACAAGUAAUCAAUGCAACCCACCUCAAUUCUUAAACUUAAACAGUAUAAAAGGACUCUCUUCACAAGCUACCGCCGUCCAAUAAUUCAAUCAAUCUUCUUAAGAUGUAGAGGCAGUUAUUGGUGGUGCGACAAGCGGAUUAAGCCAUCGCACCACCUACCUCCAGAUCUGCUCUGUUUCUAUGGCCAUUCAACACCGAUGGCUUGAGUUUGUCUUUUUGGUAUGCGGUGGUUGAUACCAGAUCCGUUUUCUUUCUUGACGGUGGAUGUAGGUUUUGUUUGCUUGCGACGUAGGUGGUGAUGGAUCGGUCACGUGGUGAUCUGUAUCUGCAUAUUAUCUGUUAUGGUUUUGAUGAAUUUUUUGUUGUGUUGGUUUGUGGUGGUUCGUGGUGGUUUCCAUGGUGAUGUUGAUAUUGAGUUUUUUGUGGUGGUGCUUGUGGUAGCGGCGAAGCUAGCAAAAUUUUCUUGAGGUGGCAGCAUAUAAACCAAAAUAAAAUAAUUUUUGAAAUUAAUAGUAAAUUUUACCAAUAAGCAAAAAGUUAAAUCACAACGACUAUUACAUAUAUAAAAUGUACUUCAUAAAAUACACCUAAAGCAACAAGAAUGGAAUAUAAAAGAUUAUAAUUUACUAAUUACUUUUUUUUUAGCUAUAAUAAAACUUUGGGUAGCCAACUAUGUAUUAUUAGGGGUAGCUAAGUAUACAAAUAUACCUACUUAUUCAAUUAUUUUUUUCUCUUUGGGGUAGCCAUAGCCACCCCUUGAGUAUGAAAGCAUCCGCCCCUGCUUGUGGUGAUUUUUGGUGGUGAUGCUCGUGGCGGCUGGUGUUAUUUUUUGGUGGUGAUGCUAGUGGUGGCUGGUAUUGAUUUUUGGUGAGGAUUAAUGGUGGUUUUUGUGGUGGUUAAUGGUAGUUUUGGUGGUGGUGGUGCUGGUUUUUGUGGUGGUGCUUGUAGUUGCUAGUGGUGGUUUUUUGUGGUAGUUAUGUUUUUUGUGGGUUUUCUUCAAUGGGUUUGUUGUUAUGGGUUUUUCAAACACGUGUUAGACUGUGUUGCUUGUUUCAAGCCAAUUCAUUGUGAUUUUGUGGGGUUGUAUGUUUUUCAAGGUGGUGAUUUUUUGGGUGUUUACAUGUGCUUAAUUGCGCUCAACUGCAGAAGAGAAGCAAUGUGCGAUUACACGAGUUUUUGGUAGGUUUGAUGGUUAUUUUGGAGGGGUUUUGCAACGGUUUGGCACAAGAUUUGUUUCUGCUAUUGCGCGGGUGUUUAGACUUUAGUGUUUGGAGAUGAUUUCUUGGUUUUUGUGUUUAGUUUUUAUUGGUUUCAGGGGCCUCAGUAGAGGGUGUUUUUGGUUUGUUUGUGGAAGUUUGAGGGUGUUUUCGGUUUGUUCGUAGAAGUUUAUAUUUGAUGUAUGGUUGUUUGUUUGGGUGUUCCGCAUAUAUACGACACACUUUUCCUUUGUAUGUUGCAACUUUAAGAUUUCUAGUCCAGCAUUCCUUGUGCUCGCUGGGAUUGUUUGCGUUUUGAAUAAAUUUCAUUUUAACUUCUUCAAAAAAAAAAAAAAAGUAUAAAAGGAGUAAUAUUUUAUUAAGACUACUAUUCUUUAAAAGAUGUCACUUGUUCCAGGGGUGGCUCUGAGGGUGGGUGGAAGGGGCGGCAGCCCAGAGCACCAUUAUCUUUGAGGCACCAAGAUUAAUAUUUUUAUUUAGUAGUUAGUAAUUUAUAGAUAUAUUUUUUUUGGUAAAAUUACAUUUUUAGUCUCUUAACUUAAUUUCAGGUAAUCGUUUGAUACUAUCUUUUUUCAUUUAAAUUUUGUUCGUUUGGUCCAUUUACAUGAAUUUUCAAGCUUUCAAUUUAAUAUUAUAUGCAACCAUAGAUGAAAGACCAUGAAUUUGAAGAUUGAGAGGCCAUAAGAAAAUAAAUACAUGAAUUUUAAGCUUGAAAAUCUAUAUGCAAAUGGCCUAAAAGGACAAAAUUAAAAUGAAAAAAAAUAAAAUAAAGGACUAAAAUGUUACUUGAAAUCAAGUUAACGAACUAAAAAUAUAAUUUUGCCUAUUUCUUUUUAACUCACUCUAAGUAAUCCUAUUGAAAAUACAUUUUUAGAGAACCUUUGAUUAGGAAUGAAUAUUUUGCAACAAAAAUUGUAAAAAGAAAGAUAUUCGAAUAAUUAAAAAUGCACUUUAUUAAUUCGUUCAAGACAUCAAAAAUCUUAGGGCCGACCCUGACUUAUUCAUUGUAUUUAAAAUUUGAAGUAUAGAACUAAUAAAAGAUAGCAUCAUUAAGUAUUUAAGCUCGAUAAAGAAACAGUAACGAAAUCUAAUUUCAACAUUCAAAACAGCAUAGGCUCAAUGUCUAUCAUUAUUCUCGUUUUAUAGCGACUAAACAGAACCAAACCGUAAGCGACUGAUCGACAACAUCUCUCCUAUCCAUUUAUUAUUGUUUUUAUUUGUUCCAUUAUCAAAGUUUUGAUGUAUAACUAUUUGAUUAAUGUAUCAAAUUUUAAAAAUGUAUACAUUUAUAUCAUUUAUUUACUUGAAAACUCUAGUAAUAGAGACUGCCAUUUUUUUUAGGAAAUUGAGAGGAUCUCAACCCAAUAAAAUGACCCCAAUGUUAGUGAAAAUAAGAUUUCAUAGUACAUGAAAUAUGAAUUUCUUGCUGAAAUUUUGACUAUUUAUAUUGAAAAUGAUAUCGCGUAGUUAAUAAAAAAUGACGAAAGAGUUUUAUCAAAUAAAGAAUUGAAUAACAAUAUAAUUUUCAUGACUAUAUAUAGUUUCGUGUGUAUUUUCUUUUGUAAGAUAUACUCCUUUUGAUCUCUAUUAUAAGCAAAAGUUUGCUUUUUAAAUUCAUUCAAUAAAUGAUGCAUGUAGUCUAUAUAAUAGAUCACAUACAUCAUUUAAUGAAUGAACUAAAAAAGUCAAAUUUUGCUUAUAAGAGUGACCGUAGAGAAUAUAAUAUGUAGUUUUAUAUUAAACCAUACAAUUAUUAAUGGUCAAAGUUAGUUAUUGUAUACAGGAGAAGGGGAAUGCUACCAACACAAAUGCUAACAAGUGCUCUAAGAAUAUUGGUUAAGCAUCCAAAAUAAGUAAAUUUGUAAAAAAAAAUUGUCUAAUCAUUACUCGAUCAAAAAUAACAUUUUAUAUUUUUAAGACAAAAUUUUUAUUUCGUAGAUUCCUUAACUAAUGCAAGACCAUUGCUUAUAUUAUCUAUUAAUGUGUUAUAUUUUUCGCCCCCUCGACAUAUUUUUCUAACUCCGUCCCUGUAUGAGGCAAGUCUAGUUUACAAAGGUGUAUAUAUAUGUACAGCAAUGAUAACUGAACAUCAAAAUACAAACACAAAUUUGACACCAAACACUGUUCACCGUAUAUUUAUACGGUAUUUAUACAUCAGUGUUCCUUCUUCUUCUUUUUUUUUUUUCUUUUCUUUUUCUUUCACACUUACGUGACAUUCUCUCACCACCUCCCGGCACCCACUGUCUCUCUCACCGCUGUCUCUCUACAACCACCGCCGUCUAAGCUCUCACCUACCACUGCUUUCUCAUUCUUCUCCGAUCAGCUUAGAUCUGACCACCACCAACAAGUUUGUCCUUCUUUCCGCUUCUGCAAACGACCUGCAACUCUCAGAUUCCGAUCACUGACUGACAAACACCGGAACAUUUUCUGCUUUCCUCUUCAGAUCCGAUCAAUUCAAAUAUGUCUCCACCUCCUACAAAUCCAACCACUUCUGCUGUCACCACCAAAGUCAAAGGACGAGAGAGAAAGAAGAG
rnacentral:lncRNA from 1 species